rnacentral:rRNA from 1 species
GACGAACGCUGGCGGCGUGCUUAACACAUGCAAGUCGAACGGUGAAGCGCCUUCCUUUUUGGUGGGUGUGGAUGAGUGGCGAACGGGUGAGUAACACGUGAGUAACCUGCCCCCUUCUUCUGGAUAACCGCAUGAAAGUGUGGCUAAUACGGGAUAUUCUGGGUCUGUCGCAUGAUGGGUCUGGGAAAGAUUUUGUUUCGGUGGGGGAUGGGCUCGCGGCCUAUCAGCUUGUUGGUGGGGUGAUGGACUACCAAGGCGGUGACGGGUAGCCGGCCUGAGAGGGUCGACGGUCACACUGGGAAGGAGACACCGCCCAGCCUACUACGGGAGGCAGCAGUGGGGAAUACUGCACAAUGGGAGCAAGGCUGAUGCAGCGACGCGGCGGGAGGGAUGGAGGCCGGAGGGUUGUGAACCUCUUUCGCCAGUGAAGCAGGCCUGCCUCGUUUGUGGGUGGGUUGACGGUAGCUGGAUAAGAAGCGCCGGCUAACUACGUG